rnacentral:rRNA from 1 species
GUCUAUAGCCAUACCAUCCUGACUGUGCCUAAUCUCAAAAGCUGUGUUCAAUCUCAAAAGGGUAGGGCCCAGUUAAUACUUGAGUGGGAGGCCUCCUAGGAGUACCAGGUACUGUAGGCU